GCAAGUCGAACGCGAAAGUGCCUUCGGGUGCGAGUAGAGUGGCGGACGGGUGAGUAACGCGUGGGAAUCUACCUUGCAGUGGGGGAUAACUCGGGGAAACUCGAGCUAAUACCGCAUACGUCCUACGGGAGAAAGGGGGCCUCUGGCUCCCGCUGCAGGAUGAGCCCGCGUCCGAUUAGCUUGUUGGUGGGGUAACGGCCCACCAAGGCGACGAUCGGUAGCUGGUCUGAGAGGAUGAUC
rnacentral:rRNA from 1 species